rnacentral:rRNA from 1 species
GAUGAACGCUGGCGGCGUGCCUAAUACAUGCAAGUCGAGCGAACAGACGAGGAGCUUGCUCCUCUGACGUUAGCGGCGGACGGGUGAGUAACACGUGGAUAACCUACCUCUAAGACUGGGAUAACUUCGGGAAACCGGUGCUAAUACCGGAUAAUAUAUUGAACCGCAUGGUUCAAUAGUGAAAGACGGUUUUGCUGUCACUUAUAGAUGGAUCCGCGCCGCAUUAGCUAGUUGGUAAGGUAACGGCUUACCAAGGCGACGAUGCGUAGCCGACCUGAGAGGAUGAUCAGCCACACUGGAACUGAGACACGGUCCAGACUCCUACGGGAGGCAGCAGUAGGGAAUCUUCCGCAAUGGGCGAAAGCCUGACGGAGCAACGCCGCGUGAGUGAUGAAGGUCUUCGGAUCGUAAAGCUCUGUUAUUAGGGAAGAACAAAUGUGUAAGUAACUAUGCACGUCUUGACGGUACCUAAUCAGAAAGCCACGGCUAACUACGUG